rnacentral:piRNA from 1 species
UGACAAAUGACAAGUUUCUGGUGUCCUUGC